ACUGACAUCCUGGAACAAAAAUGUUUUUGAUGGUAACUGACUAUUCAAAGCAUGAAGAACAAUGCACUGGUUUUAAGCAAUGGCGUGCAUUCUCCUUUCCACACCCUCAUAAUUCCUGGGAUCACUGUGAACACAUAUGUGCUCAGGUUCCUGAAAAAUAUAUCCAUUUCUCUGAGAUGAGCAGAACUGCCAGAUAUCUGUUGAAUGUGGAUUCCCAAUUUAACAUUUCUGGUCAGAUAAGUGCAGUUUGAAGAAGGAUAAGCACCUAACCAAUUACAUCACAAUCAUUAAGCAGUGACAGCCAUCCCUUCUGAAUGCAGCACACAUAGAGGUGAUUCUCAUCUGCUCUUCACUGUUCUUGUCAAGAAAAGUGAGAGGACACGCACAGCAUGCAGACCUCAAUGGCUAACAGUAACAAAGAUACACGCAUUCACGACAGCAGUACCUGAUUUCGGACCGCCUGCUUCCGCUCCGAGCUCAGCCCGAGGGCCGCGCAGCGGAGCAGAGGCCCUGCCGCCCGUACAGCCGACAGGAGGGCGGGCUCUGCCCGGUACCGAUACCGGCCCUCCCUCGGCGUCCCGCAGCGGAGGGCAAUGGGAGCCGCCAUCCCGGGGCUUCGCGGGCCUUUCUCGUCGGAAUCGCAGAAGCACAUGAAGCUUUAGAUGGAGUCCGGGAGCUGGCAGGCGAUGAGCCGUGUCGUCUGGACCACCAGAGCAGUGCUGUGGCCAAGUGUAUCAAAGGCAUUGGUUGACCCGGAGCAGCUGCUCUUCUCCGUGUGUGACUUGAGAACAAGAUCUAGGUCCCCAGAGGGCAGGAAGGUAGGGCUGUCCAGGCUACCACGCUCCUCUCCCUAGAAAGAAAUCUAAAUUAUGGCAACUAAGUGCUGUGGGAAGCACACUUGGUGUUUUGUUUCUACUUUUACAUCUAUUGUUAUGUUUAUUCAUAUUCUAUUUGGAACAGACAUCACAUAUGCUUAUUUCUUCCUUUACCCUGUAGCUAAGUAUUUGUAAGAGAUUCUAACCAGCAUGAGCACUUCCUGAAGGAUCCAUCCCUGAUAUUAUGCAGUGGUUAAUUGCGAUUAUUCAAAACUUCUGCAUACUUUGUUAUGAAAUGCAUGUGUUAGCAGUUCAGACACCACUCAAAUGCAGUCUUCUGCUGUAACCUGCUGUGGCACUUGAAUGCCAGUUGCCAAGUAUAACCACUGCUCUCUGUGUCUGUAAAAUAGCAGUAAGUGCAGGCAGCAGAAAAUAGGUCGGUAAUAAUUUACCGUGCUAGUCCACUUCAAAUGGAAAGCAUCUAAAAUGUAUAAAAAUUCUAAUAAAUGACCUAUCUUCAGCAAUAUUGGGCUUAUAUCUGCCUUGUUUGCCCAGAACCUAUCAGGAACAGCUUUAAGAAUGUAAUCCUCACAGCACUUUUCAAGAGAUAUUUUCCGAGUAUGUCUAGUAUACUUUGCCUCUGUUAAGCUUAUUUCUUUCAGGACAGGUAUAUAUUAAAACCCCUGCUUCCAUGGGAACCAAAUACAUGUAUAAAACAGAAUUCUUCCUCUUCCCUUUAGUGGAUUGAUUGGGAUUGAACUAUUUAGGAAAGGAACCAUCUAUAUUCACAAUCAAAUGGGAAAAAAAAAAAAAAAAAAGAGAGAAAAAUCCUAAAAAGGAAUACAUCUGAAGAAUCCAUAUCAAUGUUAAAUGUGUUGCAUGCAUAUUUGUUAACAAGACUAUCUGGAAUGACUUUUUUAAAGAAUGGAAUGGAACCACUGUUGUCAUCUAGCUUCAGUCCUGUAUUCAAAGAAUCUUCUUGGUUUGUUACUACAGCUACCAGUGCAUUUAGGAAAGUUUAUUAAAUCCCAGAGAGUCAAGACAACCUCCCACUGUUAGUAAAUUCAAGGUUAGUGAAAUAGGGAGACAAACUCAUGCUUCUCUCUUUUGUAGUAUCUUUGUAUCUUCUUGGACGUGGUACUGGACAGAAUUCUGCUCUGGAGGGACUUUCUCUCACCUACCUAGUCACACUGAAUGCAGUCAGUGCAGCUAAAACUUCCUUGGGUAAUUUAUUGUUGGUGACAUUGGACACCAAACGCAUUGCUGCUAUAUCAUGCUAUCUAUCCUGCUUGGGAUACUACUUCACAAAUGAUAUGAAACAUUGCUUUUGAUUUUGUAUUUCAGUCAGUAGAGUUUAAAACUAAAAACAAACAAACAAACAACACGACUUUCCCACAGUUUUCAGUAAGCAGCAAGACCUGGUCAGCUUUGAACCAAGGGUCAAAGUAUAACAAACCAGCAGGAUACUGCAGUGAUCCAAGUCUGUUAGGUACUAACAAUAUUUGCCCUGUUACACUGCCUUGUGACUGCACUAAUUAAAAUGCAGAUAGUCUUUAGCUCUUGAGUAAACCUUCCCUAAGAACAGAGAGCAGAGCAAGCGCAGUUCACUUCACAAAGAGAUGUGGUUGGUUAGCUGCUCAAAUGAGAGUUACUACCCCAUGAGUCAUGUUAGGACUCCACCCACUGUAGUCCAAUCAUGAGGCUUUCACACAAGCCUCAGGACUGCCAUCAGAGUCUGUAGUUCUGCUGGGUGGAACGGCACUAAAAAUACACUUCAUCCUUACUCAGAGUGCACAAGGAGAGCAGCAGGUUCUUCUGCUAGAGUACUUGAAAGAGCAGCGUGUCCAACAAUUUUCUUCACUGACAUUUAAAUCCUUAAGAUUAAAACCGCCCAUUCCAGAUUUGUUACUAAUAGAUGGCAUAUGUUCACAAAAUCAUACACUAAAACAUUACUUCCUCUUUGCAGCAGACUUAAGUGUUCUGCCAAGAAACUUAAUUGACUCAGCUGACAAUGCAGACUUAGUGACCUUCAUCCCAGCAUUCUGAAAUAACCAGCAAAUGAAAUUGUAAUUCUAGCAGCAAGGAUUUUAAGUAUCCAAUUGCAAACAGCAAAUUUUGUUUGUUAUUUUCAACAACACUGAAAAUUUAGUUUUAUUUCCAUUUUCCAAGGCUUAAGCCAAACACAAAGAUGUUGCUCAUGUCAAAGGUGAAUCUCAGGACACAGUGGAUCAGGAUGACACUUGGAUAUUCACAGAGGAUGUGACAAGAACCACAGUUAAAAUAGAGAAGACGGGAACUAGCAUGGCUGAGGCUAAAGGACUUGAAAGUUGUCAGAGGUUACCAUCCAUGCUCAUUGGAAACGAGGUGAACACAAGGUUGCCUUGCCUCAUCAUACUGCUGAGAGAUGCUUUGGUGAAACUCCAUCCCUAUGUUGCAGCUGACUUGGAUUCUGUGUCUGAGAAGGCCUGGCACAGCAAGGUGGACCGAUUUUAUGUAUUUCUGUAACUUUUCUAAGCACACGGUACAUCCAAAGAGAACAAGAGAAUCAGUUGUAACUGUAAACUCUGCUCUGAAUAUUAUAUAUAUUGAGGAAAACAUGUUUUCAGAGAGAACUUUGUGCUCAGGUAACAACUCAGGAUCAGCUCUGUCUAAGCUACGACGGCAUUAAUAUAAUUAAAUACAAUACAUGGUGUAUAUAGACGGAUACCUGGAAAACUAUCUGGACUAUUUUAAAAAUGAUUAAUCAGACUCUUAAAAGCUAGACUUUGUCAAAGCUGUUUGGAGGAUUGAACCCUAAACAAACAAACAAAAAAGGAAAAAGUCCCCUCAUAGAUCCAAGAUCUCAGUGAUGUACAAAUAACAGCAAAUUAAAGCUUGAAAUCCUUGGUGAUGUUUCUUGACUCCCAAGCUUUCCCCACCAGAUUUCUAAGCAAUUUCAAGUUUUUAGAUAUAAGAUCCCAUGAAAUGAAUCGAUAGAAGGCCUUUAGGAUUUCCUGUCUAGAUUUUCAAACUCCAAAUGCCUCUUUCUUCAGCCUCCUAAUAAUGAUACAGCCUAGGCUUUACCUAGGCUUUACUUUUUAGCCAAGCAAAAUGAUACACUAUGCUACAAUUUGCUUGCAACAUUGGCCGUGGAAACUUGAAAAUUCUUGGUUCGGAGCAAGAUUUACAAUGUACCAUUCAUCCAGUACCAGCAUGGAUGGAAUCAAGCAUACAGUUUUUGAGUAUUUUUUUACUCCAAUUUGUUCUGUUUGUUACUGUACUAUCUACCAUACAAGUCAGCUUAUGGACUGUGGGCUUUUCUGAUACCUCUACUUUGCAGUACAUCUUUCUGCUCAGGAAGUCAUAACCUCCAUUAGUCACAGUGUUCAUCAUUAGUCAACAGGUAUUUUUAAGGACUGAUAAA